rnacentral:lncRNA from 1 species
UUUCAAAUCUAGAUUUUUGAUCUACCUCCAUAUUUGUCUCUAGAAUAAUAGGUGCCCAUUCAGUUUCCCAUGAUAAGUCUUUUGCCUUUGUCCACAGCUGGAGGGCAUUCCCUACAUUUCCAGCCUUAGCUUUUCCCAGAAGGACUAGCAGAGUCUCAAUCCUAAUUACUAUUUAAAGUAGUACCCAAACCAGACUAGCACAACUCACCAAGCCCCAGUCCUCCCUCCUGAGCUACUAUAAGUUCAACUGGUUGACUGGUCCCCUAGCCCCUUGCAAAGAACAUGCACUCAAUGUAUAUUUCUUAAUAAAUGGAUGAAUACUUUAUUCUACUGGAGAGAUAGAAGAAGAGAAACAGGAGAGACAUUCUAGUAGAAAAGUAAUAUUAAUGAGGCCAAAUGUGUUCAUUUGUCUUUUUACCUAAUAGACAAUAAAAGAUUGCCCUAUUAGAAGAGAAGCUCAAGGCUGGACGAAAUGCCAAAGUGUCUUUUAGAGAAACCAAAUCAACGAUCUGUCAGACUCCUACCGCACAUUAGAAGAAAACAAAUGAAACAAAUGUUUUGAAGAUGUCUCCAGAGGUGCCCAGUAGAAGGGGGUGGGAAUGGAGAUGUAAGCGAGGAAAUGGUCUGUUUUGUGCCUUGAAAUAAAC